rnacentral:rRNA from 1 species
AGUGAACGCUGGCGGUAGGCCUAACACAUGCAAGUCGAACGGCAGCACAGUAAGAGCUUGCUCUUACGGGUGGCGAGUGGCGGACGGGUGAGGAAUACAUCGGAAUCUACUUUUUCGUGGGGGAUAACGUAGGGAAACUUACGCUAAUACCGCAUACGACCUACGGGUGAAAGCAGGGGAUCUUCGGACCUUGCGCGAUUGAAUGAGCCGAUGUCGGAUUAGCUAGUUGGCGGGGGAAAGGCCCACCAAGGCGACGAUCCGUAGCUGGUCUGAGAGGAUGACCAGCCACAUUGGAACAGAGACACGGUCCAGACUCCUACGGGAGGCAGCAGUGGGGAAUAUUGGAAAAUGGGCGCAAGCCUGAUCCAGCAAUACCGCGUGGGUGAAGAAGGCCUUCGGGUUGUAAAGCCCUUUUGUUGGGAAAGAAAAGCAGCAGGUUAAUACCCCGCUGUUCUGACGGUACCCAAAGAAUAAGCACCGGCUAACUUCGUG